UUUUACUCUUACAAAGGUUUUCUCCACAUCUGAAACUCAGUAGCAUCUGCUAAGAAGUUUUCUUGCAAUAUGCACAGUUAUUUACCAGGAGACAUACUGAGAUCAUCAAACUCCAUUCCUGAAGCUGAAACCAAUACAUCUUGAAACAUAAGAAACAAACCACACAAAAUAUAUCAGAUCUAGAAAAAAGUGUGCUACAUUUCACUAAGCAUAAACUGUCUAAAUUGCAUGGUUCACACUGAUUCCAUCAGGUACUGAAAAUCCUUGGACCAAGAGCAGUGAAACAAGAUGUUUUCCACAGUUCUUUCUUUUUUAUAAAAGUUCUUUUACAAUGAAAAUUAAAAGCUUUGGACACUGUUUUUUCUUAUAAUUUCUAGGAGCACUGAGUGUGCACAGUAAACAUAGAAUUUGUAAUGCCUUCACAAUAAAAGUUAUAUACAUAGCAUUCAUCAAACCUACUGAAAACUUGACAUACAUCAGAUGUACUGCACACAUGCAUGUUUCUUUUUAGGAACUCCUUACAAAUAGGUAUAACAAAGGAUCUAAUGAAUAGAAAUUCAGAAAAGUCAUGGUAAAAGAACAAAGGAAAUUUAAAUUUAAAUGUAACAUACUUUUUAAAAAGUUUAGGAUUU